rnacentral:rRNA from 1 species
AGGAUAAACGCUGGCGGCGUGCCUAACACAUGCAAGUCGAACGCGCUUUCGUCUUCGGAGGAGAGCGAGUGGCGGACGGGUGAGUAACACAUGGGUACCUACCCCACAGUGAGGGAUACCGGCGAGAAAUCGCCGACAAUACCGCAUAGGCUUCUCUUUGGAGACGAGGAGAAGCAAAGUUGCGCAAGCGACGCUGAGGGAUGGGCCUGUGGCCGAUUAGCUAGUUGGGGGGUAACGGCCUCCCAAGGCUUCGAUCGGUAGCUGGUCUGAGAGGACGAUCAGCCACACUGGGAUUGAGAACGGCCCAGACUCCUACGGGGGGCAGCAGUGAGGAAUUUUCCGCAAUGGAGGCAACUCUGACGGAGCAACGCCGCGUGCAGGAUGAAGGUUUUCGGAUCGUAAACUGCUUUUCUCGGGGACGAGCAAGGACGGUACCCGAGGAAUCAGCCCCGGCUAACUACGUGCCAGCAGCCGC